rnacentral:rRNA from 1 species
UGGGGAAUAUUGCACAAUGGGCGAAAGCCUGAUGCAGCGACGCCGCGUGGGGGAUGACGGCCUUCGGGUUGUAAACCUCUUUCAGCAAGGAAGAAGCGAAAGUGACGGUACUUGCAGAAGAAGCGCCGGCUAACUACGUGCCAGCAGCCGCGGUAAUACGUAGGGCGCAAGCGUUGUCCGGAAUUAUUGGGCAUAAAGGGCUUGUAGGUGGCUUGUCGCGUCUGCCGUGAAAACUCGAGGCUUAACCUUGGGCGUGCGGUGGGUACGGGCAGGAUAGAGUGCGGUAGGGGAGACUGGAAUUCCUGGUGUAGCGGUGAAAUGCGCAGAUAUCAGGAGGAACACCGAUGGCGAAGGCAGGUCUCUGGGCCGUUACUGACACUGAGAAGCGAAAGCAUGGGGAGCGAACAGG